GACGAACGCUGGCGGCGUGCUUAACACAUGCAAGUCGAACGGAAAGGCCCUGCUUUUGUGGGGUGCUCGAGUGGCGAACGGGUGAGUAACACGUGAGUAACCUGCCCUUGACUUUGGGAUAACUUCAGGAAACUGGGGCUAAUACCGGAUAGGAGCUCCUGCUGCAUGGUGGGGGUUGGAAAGUUUCGGCGGUUGGGGAUGGACUCGCGGCUUAUCAGCUUGUUGGUGGGGUAGUGGCUUACCAAGGCUUUGACGGGUAGCCGGCCUGGGAGGGUGACCGGCGACAUUGGGACUGAGAUACGGCCCAGACUCCUACGGGAGGCAGCAGGGGGGAAUAUUGCACAAUGGGCGGAAGCCUGAUGCAGCAACGCCGGGGGCGGGAUGACGGCCUGCGGGUUGUAAACCGCUUUCGCCUGUGACGAAGCGUGAGUGACGGUAAUGGGUAAAGAAGCACCGGCUAACUACGUG
rnacentral:rRNA from 1 species